rnacentral:lncRNA from 1 species
ACAGGCGCCGCCCCAUCCUCCACCCGUCGCCGCCCCAUCCUCCACCACUGGCGCCGCCCCAUCCCCACUGGCGCCGCCCCAUCCCCUAUUUCCUCUCUCUUUAUCGUCCCCGGGCGAUAUCUAUGUGGUGGUAGAAAAAGGUAAUUUUUUUUCAAUCAUCUUUCAAUGGUUUUAGGGUUUGUGGGGGACAAUCCAUAUUCGAUAACAAUAUUGUGAAAAAAGGCUAUUAAUUUUUAUAAAUUAAUAUUUUUCUAAUGGCUUUUCUUUGAUUCUUAUUUCUAAUUCUGCCAUUUUUCAAACAAUUGUUGCCGCAAUAAAUUCUCUUUGUUUCUUUCUUUUUCUAAUUUUUUUUUUAUAAUUUUUUUUUGUCUCUUUUUAUCUGGUAGAGGAAGGGCGACGUUUUCUUAAUGGCUAAUUAAAAUUUAAAAGGGGUAAUUACUAAUUAAUCUUUGAUAUAAUAUUUUUAUUUUAUUUUUGAGAAAAUUAUACUUGAUUUACAAGAAUUUCAGUUAAUAAAAAGCCUUGGUUUUGAAAAUUGCUUUUCAUUUGUUAAUUAAUAUUUUUUCUUGUUCAGAUUUAUACGGUGACCCUCGUCGGCCUUAUUGGUGGUGGUGUACUGAUCUUGGACUUUUUCCUGGAUAUAGUAGUGGCUUAUGUUUCAAAUAGUGGAUUUUCGAAUAGUGAAUUUAUGUUUUAUUUAGUUGUGUUAGUAGUGGAUUACGUAUGUUUUUUAGUGGAUUUCGAUUAGUUUGUUGUUGAUUAUAUUAUUAUUAAAGUGGAUUACGUUAAUUUUCGUAAUUGUUCUUGCACUUUUUUCUUGGACAUAGUAGUGGUUUACGUUUCAAAUAGUGGAUUUUCAAAUAGUGGAUUUGCGAAUAGUGAAUUUACGUUUUUUUUUUGGUUUUUUUAUUUAUUUAUUGAGCUGUGUUAGUAGUGGAUAC